GGUAAAUGAACACGUAAAGCAAGGGUGUUUACGAAUGGGAUUCUGCCUAUGAGCAGUGUCGACCUACCUGAGAUGGCUCUCGUGGUUGGUAAUAAUGAACAUUUCUUAUCCUGGCCAUGGAUGGAAAACAGGAGUCAGUUGUAUUGAUUGUAUGUUGGCCCUUCAUCAGCGCAUUUGAGGUCAGGUAAAUUGGAUCCGUUAGCCACAAGCUUUAGGAUCACCUGGAAGAUGGACAUCUUAGCAUGCUUUUCGGAGAUUAAUUUGAUUGGGUUACUUAAGGCCAACUUAAAGUUGGCCACUGUGGAUGGAGUGCCUGGAUUUUGGUCUUGGACUGCAUAAGGAAGAGUACAGCUAUUUGGACACCAACACUGAAAGAUCUCUGCUCCUUGAUUAUGAAUGCAAUAUUACCAACUGCCUCCAACUCCUGUUGUAUGUGUUUUAACCUCAAACCAAAAUAAGCCCUUUCUCCUUUAAUUUGCUUUUGUCAGAUUGUUUUACCACACCAAUAGGAAAAGACUUAGAAAAUG